AAGUUGAACCCUAAGUGUAAACCCCUGAGAUCCUCCCAUUUCUCUCUCUCUCGGCCUGCCUGCCCCCCGAGACUGCCGCCGCACUUCCACAGCUGAAGCCCACCGACCGACCACCACCACACGCAAGCCCUCCCUCGCCCAAACCCUCCUCCCCCGACCCCUCUCGAGUCUCGACUCUCAGACUCCACAACCCGUCAGCGAGCCAGUUGGCUUCGCCCCAACCUCGCCGACAGCCACGAGUCCCCGACCCCUCUCAGGUCUCAGCCACGAGUCCCCGUCCUCGACCCCGACGACCCCUUCGUUAGUGACAGUUGUCGCUAGGGGAUUGGAAACAAGAUCGUGCUUGAGGGUCGUUUAUUGGUAACCUAUGCUUGGACCAAAGGGAUAUGUUGCAUUUUUGAAAAGAAAGGAAAAAAAUAAAGUUGACAUUGGCAUUGUUGAAGAAAGAAAAAGAUAAGAUGAUAUUCAAAGGCCCACGACCUAGCUAGCUUUCAGGUCCAUGCCCCAUCUGCCUCAGCCAGCCCAAGCCGCCAGCCCGCCUGCCUCAGCCGGCCCCAAGCGUCUAACCCGCACCCGCCCAAGCCCGCGCUCCCCUUCGGCCCAGCCCCCAUGGCCCAGUUGCCUGCCACAACCCAGCCACCCAGCUGCCUCCUUUUUUUUUCUUGAGCCCACAAUUGUCCCAUUGUCCCAAUGUCCAAAAAUGCCACAUUUUUUACCCAACUUUCUGUUGGAAAAAAUUGAGUUAAUGAGAAAUUGAUGCCUAAAAUGGAAAUGAUUCGGCAAAUCACCUUGAUUAAAGAUGAUAUUAUAUGAAUAUUAUGUGAUUUAUUCUGAUUGAUUUUGGCAAAUCACUUUGGUCAAAAUUAAGAUAUCAGAAUAUUGUGUGAUUAAUUCUGAUUGAGUAUAAGAAAACCACUUUGGGUAAUUGCUGAUAUUACCAAUAUAAUGGUAUUUAAUUCUGAUUGAUUUUCAGAUAUUAAGAUACCAGAUUUGUUGGAUUUUUGGGCAUUAAUGCAUUUGAUUCACACAUUUUUCAACUCUCCAUAAAGCCUAUAAAAAAAGGCUUCUCCUUUCAUUCUAGGCACACUGAUACAGAAUAUCACACACUUAGUAUUUUUCUCUCUUCAGUCUCUGUAGUAUUUUUUAGUGAUAGAGGGAAUGUUUGUUUUGAGUUCGCCUAAGCAAACGCAGUGGUGCAUUCGUCCUGCUUGAUAGCUGUUGUAUCCUGGGAAGUGGUUGCUCACGAAUUCUCUAGCACCGUUCAGGUAGAGGGAGCAAAUCUGCUUUAAGG